GCUCGUAGUUGGAUUUUGGGCGCAGGCGGCCGGUCCGUCGCAAGGCGUGUACUGGCCGUCCUGGCCUCACCUCCGGUUCUCCGCCGGUGCCCUUGACUGAGUGUCGGCGGCGGCCGGAACGUUUACUUUGAAAAAAUUAGAGUGUUCAAAGCAGGCGAUUCGCCUGAAUAAUGGUGCAUGGAAUAAUGGAAUAGGACCUCGGUUCUAUUUUGUUGGUUUUCGGAGCGCGAGGUAAUGAUUAAGAGGGACAGACGGGGGCAUUCGUACUGUGCCGUUAGAGGUGAAAUUCUUGGAUCGGCGCAAGACGAACGACUGCGAAAGCAUUUGCCAAGAAUGUUUUCUUUAAUCAAGAGCGAAAGUCAGAGGUUCGAAGACGAUCAGAUACCGUCCUAGUUCUGACUAUAAACGAUGCCAACUAGCGAUCGGGGGGCGUUAGUUUUACGACCUCUCCGGCAGCUUGCGGGAAACCAAAGUCUUUGGGUUCCGGGGGAAGUAUGGUUGCAAAGCUGAAACUUAAAGGAAUUGACGGAAGGGCACCACCAGGAGUGGAGCCUGCGGCUUAAUUUGACUCAACACGGGAAAUCUCACCCGGCCCGGACACAGUGAGGAUUGACAGAUUGAGAGCUCUUUCUUGAUUCUGUGGGUGGUGGUGCAUGGCCGUUCUUAGUUGGUGGAGCGAUUUGUCUGGUUAAUUCCGAUAACGAACGAGACUCUGGCUUGCUAACUAGUUACGCGACCCAAUCGGUCGGCGUCUAACUUCUUAGAGGGACUAGUGGCGUUUAGCCACACGAGAUUGAGCAAUAACAGGUCUGUGAUGCCCUUAGAUGUUCGGGGCCGCACGCGCGCUACACUGACCGGAUCAGCAUGUGCUCGCCUUGGCCGACAGGUCUGGGUAACCCGCUGAACCCCGGUCGUGCUAGGGAUAGGGAAUUGCAAUUAUUUCCCUUGA
rnacentral:rRNA from 1 species